AUUGAACGCUGGCGGCAGGCCUAACACAUGCAAGUCGAGCGGAUGAAGGGAGCUUGCUCCUGGAUUCAGCGGCGGACGGGUGAGUAAUGCCUAGGAAUCUGCCUGGUAGUGGGGGAUAACGUCCGGAAACGGGCGCUAAUACCGCAUACGUCCUGAGGGAGAAAGUGGGGGAUCUUCGGACCUCACGCUAUCAGAUGAGCCUAGGUCGGAUUAGCUAGUUGGUGGGGUAAAGGCCUACCAAGGCGACGAUCCGUAACUGGUCUGAGAGGAUGAUCAGUCACACUGGAACUGAGACACGGUCCAGACUCCUACGGGAGGCAGCAGUGGGGAAUAUUGGACAGUGGGCGAAAGCCUGAUCCAGCCAUGCCGCGUGUGUGAAGAAGGUCUUCGGAUUGUAAAGCACUUUAAGUUGGGAGGAAGGGCAAUAAGUUAAUACCUUGCUGUUUUGACGUUACCAACAGAAUAAGCACCGGCUAACUUCGUG
rnacentral:rRNA from 1 species